CGAUUCCGGAGAGGGAGCCUGAGAGACGGCUACCACUACUACGGGAGGCAGCAGGCGCGCAACUUACCCAAUCCUGAUUCAGGGAGGUAGUGACGAAACAUACCGCAUCCCAAUCGAGAAGAUUUGAAGUGCGGAAUGCGUUCAAUCUGGAUCGUUGAACGAUGAUCUAUUGGAGGGCAAGGCUGGUGCCAGCAGCCGCGGUAACACCAGCUCCAAUAGCGUAUACUAUUAUUGUUGCGGUUAAAACGUUCGUAGUCGGAUUCUAGUGUUGUGAUGUAUCAUUGUAUCACACUGCUAUACCGGUAUACCGACAAGGAGGUCUCCGUUCGGAGCGACUCCGCGAUGGUCUACCGGUAAGUUACCAUGACGAAAUUAUGGUGUUCAUAGCAAGCACGGCGUUGCUCUGAAUACACAAGCACGGGAUAACACCAAAGGGGCUCCAGUCCGUGUUGCGUUGGCAUAAGGCACUGUUGCAACUAUUAAGAGGAACAGUCGGGGGUAGUCGCAUUCCAUUGCUAGAGGUGAAAUGUAAUGACCAAUGGAAGACGAACAAUAGCGAAAGCAUCUACCAAGAAUGUUUUCAUUGGCCAAGAACGAAAGUUGGGGUAGCAAAGACGAUUUGGCACCGUCGUAGUCCCAACCGUAAACAAUGCCGACUGGGGGUUGGUAGACGUGUUUUCGAUAGCUCUAUCAGCACCCUAUGAGAAAUCACAAGUUUCUGGGUUCCGGGGGGAGUACGGUCGCAAGGCUGAAACUUAAAGG
rnacentral:rRNA from 1 species